rnacentral:lncRNA from 1 species
CUAAUGCUGAUUGAAUGGAAAAGUUCAGUUUAGGGUUUAAAACCCUAAUACUGACUGAAAUUAAAGAGUUCAGUUUAGGGUUUAAAACUCUAAUGCUGACUAAAGGAAAAAGUUCAGUUUAGGGUUUAAAACCCUAAUGCUGACUGAAUGGAAAAAGUUCAAUUUAGGGUUUAAAACCCUAAUGCUGACUGAAUGGAAAGUUCAGUUUAGGGUUUAAAACCCUAAUGCUGACUAAAGGAAAGAGUUCAGUUUAGGGGUUUAAAACCCUAAUGCUGACUAAAGGAAAAAGUUCAGUUUAGGGUUUAAAAACCUAAUGCUGACUAAAUGGAAAAGUUCAGUUUAGGGUUUAAAAACCCUAAUACUGACUGAAAUGAAAGAGUUCAGUUUAGGGUUUAAAACCCUAAUGCUGACUAAAGGAAAGAGUUCAGUUUAGGGUUUAAAACCCUAAUGCUGACUAAAGGAAAAAAGUUCAGUUUAGGGUUUAAAACCGUAAUGCUGACUAAAGGAAAGAGUUCAGUUUAGGGUUUAAAACCCUAAUGCUGACUGAAUGGAAAAGUUCAGUUUAGGGUUUAAAACCCUAAUGCUGACUGAAUGGAAAAGUUCAGUUUAGGGUUUUAAAACCCUAAUGCUGACUGAAAUGAAAGAGUUCAGUUUAGGGUUUAAAACUCUAAUGCUGACUAAAGGAAAAAGUUCAGUUUAGGGUUUAAAGCCCUAAUGCUGACU